AAAUUGAAGAGUUUGAUCAUGGCUCAGAUUGAACGCUGGCGGCAGGCGUAACACAUGCAAGUCGAACGGUAACAGGAAGCAGCUUGCUGCUUUGCUGACGAGUGGCGGACGGGUGAGUAAUGUCUGGGAAACUGCCUGAUGGAGGGGGAUAACUACUGGAAACGGUGGCUAAUACCGCAUAACGUCGCAAGACCAAAGAGGGGGACCUUCGGGCCUCUUGCCAUCAGAUGUGCCCAGAUGGGAUUAGCUAGUUGGUGAGGUAACGGCUCACCAAGGCGACGAUCCCUAGCUGGUCUGAGAGGAUGACCAGCCACACUGGAACUGAGACACGGUCCAGACUCCUACGGGAGGCAGCAGUGGGGAAUAUUGCACAAUGGGCGCAAGCCUGAUGCAGCCAUGCCGCGUGUAUGAAGAAGGCCUUCGGGUUGUAAAGUACUUUCAGCGGGGAGGAAGGUGUUGUGGUUAAUAACCGCAGCAAUUGACGUUACCCGCAGAAGAAGCACCGGCUAACUCCGUGCCAGCAGCCGCGGUAAUACGGAGGGUGCAAGCGUUAAUCGGAAUUACUGGGCGUAAAGCGCACGCAGGCGGUCUGUCAAGUCGGAUGUGAAAUCCCCGGGCUCAACCUGGGAACUGCAUUCGAAACUGGCAGGCUUGAGUCUUGUAGAGGGGGGUAGAAUUCCAGGUGUAGCGGUGAAAUGCGUAGAGAUCUGGAGGAAUACCGGUGGCGAAGGCGGCCCCCUGGACAAAGACUGACGCUCAGGUGCGAAAGCGUGGGGAGCAAACAGGAUUAGAUACCCUGGUAGUCCACGCCGUAAACGAUGUCUACUUGGAGGUUGUGCCCUUGAGGCGUGGCUUCCGGAGCUAACGCGUUAAGUAGACCGCCUGGGGAGUACGGCCGCAAGGUUAAAACUCAAAUGAAUUGACGGGGGCCCGCACAAGCGGUGGAGCAUGUGGUUUAAUUCGAUGCAACGCGAAGAACCUUACCUGGUCUUGACAUCCACAGAACUUUCCAGAGAUGGAUUGGUGCCUUCGGGAACUGUGAGACAGGUGCUGCAUGGCUGUCGUCAGCUCGUGUUGUGAAAUGUUGGGUUAAGUCCCGCAACGAGCGCAACCCUUAUCCUUUGUUGCCAGCGGUUAGGCCGGGAACUCAAAGGAGACUGCCAGUGAUAAACUGGAGGAAGGUGGGGAUGACGUCAAGUCAUCAUGGCCCUUACGACCAGGGCUACACACGUGCUACAAUGGCGCAUACAAAGAGAAGCGACCUCGCGAGAGCAAGCGGACCUCAUAAAGUGCGUCGUAGUCCGGAUUGGAGUCUGCAACUCGACUCCAUGAAGUCGGAAUCGCUAGUAAUCGUGGAUCAGAAUGCCACGGUGAAUACGUUCCCGGGCCUUGUACACACCGCCCGUCACACCAUGGGAGUGGGUUGCAAAAGAAGUAGGUAGCUUAACCUUCGGGAGGGCGCUUACCACUUUGUGAUUCAUGACUGGGGUGAAGUCGUAACAAGGUAACCGUAGGGGAACCUGCGGUUGGAUCACCUCCUUACCUUAAAGAAGC
rnacentral:rRNA from 1 species